UCUUAACCAGAUCCUCUACAGGAUGAAAUGCAUCAACUGGGAGGAAAUCACUACACACCAGCCUUCAAGAGGAAAGUUAGAAGUGAUUUCUUGAAUUUAUCUUUGGAGAGUUCCUUCAAGCUAAUUUUGCCAGCCUAUCCUGAAAUAAUACCCACCACCAUGAUCGCCUUUAUUAUCAUCAUCACCACCAUCACAUCACCAUCAUCAUCACCGUCAGCACCACCACCACCACCACUCCAAAACUGGCUUUUGAGAGGUGUGUGCUUAAGUGGACUUUGGUCCCGCUGACUGACUUCGUUAUCCCUAUUCGGAACAACGCUAUCAGCCCACUGAUGACUUAUCUGCCUGUUAGCUCUCAUGCCCCACCCUCUUAGUACAGCCUCCCAAGCCGGAAUCCUCUUCCUGGCCUUAUGGCUGUCACUU